UGCUGUGCGGGGCCGGGGCUUUCAGUCUCUCCUGACUAGAGCAGAAAUUCCACUUUCUCGAAGGAAAAUGAUCUUUGUCUCAUCUCUCUCAUUUUGCUCUCAACAGACUUCUGUUUAAAGUUCCUUUUUUGAUGAACUGGCAUUCUAUUUUAUUUUAUUUUAUUUUAUUUUAUUUUACUUCAUUUUCUGAAAAGAAUACGUACUGUUGAAAACUUUCCAGUCAGCAGUACCCGGGAUAAUUUAAAAAACUUCCAAAAGAGAUGGCUCUGCUGGCAGCACAGCAUGGGGUCAGAAAACCCUCCAAGACUGGAAGAUGCCUUCAGAGGCCAUGUGGUGCUGCAGGGCCCCCAUGGUGCCAGGAGCGGGCAGCGCACAGCAAUUCCUGCAGCGGGAGCACAGCUCACCCCGGGCUAUCCCGAGGCACUGCACACUUGUGCUAGAGUGAUUAAAACCGGUCUGGUUUUGCAAUGAGGAAAGGAGAUUCGAGAAGAAAUCCAAAGCAGUGUGGGUUAGUGCUUUGCCUCCUGCAGCACCUUCUGCUCAUAUCUGUAGUCUAAAAUCACCACUAACAAACGUGAAAUGUGUAUCAGAAAAUUUUGCAGACACUGCAAGUGAGCCAAGUGUCCAAAAUAAGUAUCCAAAGGGAGUACUCGAGUGUUGUCUGUUCAUUUGUGUUGAAGGUAAGGUCAUUACAUAUUGUGCUUUUCUCCAACUUACAAUCUUGAAAAUUUGUUAAGUCACAUUUGGUACAUACUUAAGAAUUAGAUCCAAAAGCACAUCUAUGAUCAUCUAAAAAUCCCUCUAAACACUUACAUUUACAUGUGCAAAACAAAAGAAACACUUGGUACCUACGUAGUUUUUUUUUUACUCAAUGAUAUAAAAGCAAUGGGUCUUUCCAUCCUUCUAUAAAUUACUAAAAAAAAAAAUAAAGUAUAAAGUGCUGAUCAGGUUUUCCUCAAAGCUCAGGAGCAGCAAGGAUAAAAACCAAACCCACAUUCCUGGCAGAUAUAAACACUAAAAUUCACCUAAAAGGGGAAUGAAAAUCUUAAAAUCAACUCUCUUUGACAGUUAAAAUUUUUAAUCUCAGAUGGUAACCCACUUCUGAACUAUGAAUAGACUCAAAUUUUCACUCAGAGGGUGGUGACACACUGGAACAGGUUGCCCAGGGAGGUUGUGGAUGCCCCAUCCCUGGAGGCAUUCGAGGCCAGGCUGGAUGUGGCUCUGGGCAGCCUGGUCUGGUGGUUGGUGACCCUGCACAUAGCAGGGGGGUUGAAACUCGAUGAUCAUUGUGGUCCUUUUCAACCCAGGCCGUUCUAUGAUUCUACGAUUCAAAUUACGAGAUAAUGUCACUAAUGGGAAAGGGUCACAUGACAUCUGUAUUUUUACUACUUUACUUCUAGAUUUCAGCCAAAUUGCAUGACAAAGCUAUGGCUUCUGGUGAUACCUCCUGUAUGUUAUGGGCUUAUAUAUACUUUAGCAACAAUACUUCAGCAGCAGGGUUUUGUAGAUUAAUGCAAAUUUUCACUCUGUUAAAAUCCAUAGAUUUUAGAUCUACAUGUAUUUAUUUGUUCACAUAUUUCUAUGGGAGGAAAAAUCUUACCUACUCAGAUUCUUUUCGUUUGUAUUUUCAUCAAAAAAUGAAUUAAUUUACACUGAGUUUGUUCAUAUAAAAUAUAUUUUUUUGUUAUUGUCACACAGAAACUCUUGCAGAAAUGUUCUUGGCUAAACUAUUGCAUUUCUGCUCUAAGCUGGGAGGAAACAGGAGGAGGAGAAGGGAAAAGACUAUCAGGGAGGAAUGUCUCUCCUCUUCUUCUUGCUUUGGGUGCAUGACCAUUACCCAUCCUGGGAUGCUGAAGAUCUUGAUUCAAACAAGACCUUCUUACCUUCAAGCUUCUUACCUUCAAGCUUAUCCAACUACUGGACACUGGCUGAAAAGGACUCCAGAAUUUCCUCUAAUAAAAUGAUUUUAUAUUGUCAUUUUAGAUAAUUAUACAUUGACAUAAGGAUCUCACUCUGAUUUUUCUGAGCCUCAGGUGAACAUGCUUCCCUCCAGCUUUUCUCAGGCUUUUAAACCUGUUUGUGGGAAACUUCCCAAGGUCUUCUGUUUCCCUGGUUGUGCAAUAUAAAACAUUUUGGACUCAUAAAUCUGGAGAGAGAAAAUAUUUUCCAUUCAGCCUUAGAA